UAGGGAAUCUUCGGCAAUGGGGGGAACCCUGACCGAGCAACGCCGCGUGAGUGAAGAAGGUUUUCGGAUCGUAAAGCUCUGUUGUUAAGGAAGAACGAGUGUGAGAAUGGAAAGUUCAUGCUGUGACGGUACUUAACCAGAAAGGGACGGCUAACUACGUGCCAGCAGCCGCGGUAAUACGUAGGUCCCGAGCGUUGUCCGGAUUUAUUGGGCGUAAAGCGAGCGCAGGCGGUUAGAAAAGUCUGAAGUGAAAGGCAGUGGCUCAACCAUUGUAGGCUUUGGAAACUGUUUAACUUGAGUGCAGAAGGGGAGAGUGGAAUUCAAUGUGUAGCGGUGAAAAGCGUAGAUAUAUGGGGGAACACCGGUGGCGAAAGCGGCUCUCUGGUCUGUAACUGACGCUGAGGCUCGAAAGCGUGGGGAGCGAACAGG
rnacentral:rRNA from 1 species